GUCGCCUUCAACCUUGGUUUGGGGUGGGAAAUGGGCUCUGGUCUGUGUUAACCUAAAUGGUAUUUUACUCUUGAAGUUCCGGGACCGUAUCUGAGGCCCGGCCAAAUCCUGCCUGCCCUUGGAGGCUCUGAGAUUUGGCUCAUCUGAGAACACCAGGGUUCGUGUGCAGCGGGAACACGCACUUUUGUGGGGCUGACAGAGCCUGCAUCAGCUCCUGGGGUCUUCCCAGCCUCCAAGCAAUUCCCAGACCCUGGAGUCGCACCUCUUCCUGCUUCCUUCAGAAGAGAGGAGGAGGGUGGGGUACUGCUUGGAAGGGAAGAAGAUCGGCAACCUCCAGGAGAAUCCAGACAACAAAUUAAUUUGCCCUUCACGGAUUGUGUCCUACUGGAAUCUUUCCACAGAAAAGUGUUCCUGGAGGAGGCUGAGCCCUGCAAGGCACUGCAGACAGAAGCUCUCAGAUAACAGGUGGGGGACAGUUUCCUGGAGGAAAGCCCCCCGAGGGAAGGCCUGUGAACCCCCCUUACAGGCCAGAAGCAAAGCUGGAACUGUGCCUCAGGACCAAGCCAGUUUUUCCUGCUUGUCCCGUUUGGGUGGCCCAGGAGGCAGCCAGAAACUCAGUAUGUCAGAGCGGGGAGGGCCAGGGCGGGCAAAGGGGAGAAGGGAGACAGUAGACCCCACAGGGUACCAUUCUCUGAGGCCCUCAGGGGCAGAGACACGGGGGCGGGGAGCAGACAAGAGGAGGCAGGACAAGCUUCAGCUCUGUGCCUUGAGCAGGACAGCUCAGCACCAGGCUCCCAAUGCUUCCUCACAGGGUCUCUUGGCUCCUCCUCAGUCUCCUGUACCACAGGUACCCACUCCCCCACUUCUGGAUGUUGAGGUGUCCCCAGGCUCGCUGCCUUGGGUGGUCUCCCCCACCCCCAGCUCCUCUCCCAGGACAUCCAAAACAAAGCCCUCCAGCCACCCCUGAAAUCUCUGUUUUCCAGAUGCUUAGGGCAAAAUCCCGGCAUCAUCUCAAUGCAGCUUUUCCUCAGGAGCCCCACAUCCACCCUUGAAUUCCUGAUGGCCCGGAGUUUACAGCAUAUUCCCAAUCCACCACCUGCCCUCUGCUGGUGGAAGCCACGUCACCGGGACCGGCAUUACCGUAGUCUCCCAACAGUCUCUGCUGUCCUCCUGCCUGCCCACGGUCUUUUCUUCUCCAACCAGCCAAAAAGAUUAUUUUGAAAAGACCAGGUCAUGGUGUUCCUCUCUCAUAUCUCGUUUCUAAUGAAACCCAAAGUCUUCACCGUGCUUCCCCAUGUGCAGUGGCCCUUUGUCCUCACCAUCCUUGCUGUCCUCCAGAUACUCUGGGCUCUGGCUCCCCUCAACCAUGCACCCCUACCUCAGGACCUUUGUACACCCUUCCCCCGGCACGGGCGUAGCCGGCCCUCACUUCAUUCACACCUCUGCUCGCGUCUCAUUCUCUUGUCCAUGAUCUGUCUCUGCAAAAACCAAAGCUCUUGGGACACAGGGGCCUUGUCUUCCCAGCACCUGGAGUGGUGGUUAGCACACAGGUGGUGCUCAGUAACAUGAGUUAUGAAUAAAUUAGUGAAUGGCCAGGACCUCA
ensembl:lncRNA